rnacentral:lncRNA from 1 species
GUUUCAAAGAAAAUAGCUUUAUUUGUAAUUUAGUGGAUAACAAUUUACUGACCACAACCACUACUGUCUAUCAAAUUGUCGACCACAUCCACAAGACUAUCUAAUUCAUGCCCACAUCCACAUGUUUUCGAAGACGAUUGAACAUUUACUCCCAAACACAACUAAACCACAACUAUCAUGACCACAAAUUUUGGGCAUACCAACACCAUUGUCCCAGCUCCUGUCAACUAAUUUCACUAACCACGACAAUUAUGCGUCCAUAACCAUGCCUUUCACUACAUCAAAAUUCAUGACCACAAUUGCUUCCUGCCGCACACAAUUCAACCACAACUACCUUAACCACGGCUUAGACACUAACCAUCAGAUCAAUCUUAAAAUAAAAAAAUCUAUCGACUGUGCUAAAAGCUCAGAGCUCCGUAAAUCUGACACAUAUUAAUUAUAAACCUACGUUACUGUUUUUAGUAGCGAUGUACUUCUUUUAACAAUAGCCGUCGGAUCCCUUUAAAAAAUAACUAAAUCUAACGGCUCGCCAUAAGGCCCACUGUCUCAUGCACCUACCCAUUAAUUGCAAUCGGACAAUCUAUCUAGAUACUCAAACCUAGUUCCUUCGACCCUUAUUUCUUAACCACGAAGUCCAUCCUAUCCAACGAAGGAACAUUUUUGGAAGAGAAAAUGAUAAAGUAAGUCACAAAGUACUCCUUAAG